rnacentral:rRNA from 1 species
UACGUAGGGCGCAAGCGUUAUCCGGAAUUAUUGGGCGUAAAGAGCUCGUAGGCGGUUUGUCGCGUCGGCCGUGAAACCUGCAGCUUAACUGUGGGCGUGCGGUCGAUACGGGCAUCACUGGAGUUCGGCAGGGGAGACUGGAAUUCCUGGUGUAGGCGGUGAAAUGCGCAGAUAUCGGGAGGAACACCAGUGGCGAAGGCGGCGAUCUGGGAAGAUACGUGACGCUGGAGGUGCGAAA